rnacentral:rRNA from 1 species
AGGGCACCACCAGGAGUGGAGCCUGCGGCUUAAUUUGACUCAACACGGGAAACCUCACCAGGCCCAGACACCGGAAGGAUUGACAGAUUGAUAGCUCUUUCUUGAUUCGGUGGGUGGUGGUGCAUGGCCGUUCUUAGUUGGUGGAGCGAUUUGUCUGGUUAAUUCCGAUAACGAACGAGACUCUAGCCUGCUAAAUAGGCGUACCUUAUGGUAUCUCGAAGGCCCCCGGCCUCGGUCGGCGGGUUUUUACUACCAACGUACAAACAAAUCUUCUUAGAGGGACAGGCGGCUUCUAGCCGCACGAGAUUGAGCAAUAACAGGUCUGUGAUGCCCUUAGAUGUUCUGGGCUGCACGCGCGCUACACUGAAGGAAUCAGCGUGUGUUCCCUGGCCGAAAGGCCCGGGUAACCCGCUGAACCUCCUUCGUGCUAGGGAUUGGGGCUUGCAAUUGUUCCCCAUGAACGAGGAAUUCCCAGUAAGCGCGAGUCAUAAGCUCGCGUUGAUUACGUCCCUGCCCCUU